UGGGCUAAAAUUUUUGGUUGUGCUACAUACUUUGUGAUGUGGGCUAUAUAAUAUCAGAUUUUGGUUGUCCUUCAUACUUUGUGAUGUGGGCUGACUUUGUGAUGUGGGCUGAGAUGUUUUAGAAUCUGUGUAUGGGCUUCAAAGUUCCAUGGGCUCAAAUUUAUGUGUAUGGGGCUUCGAAUCUGUAUGGGCUCAGAUUUAUUUAGACA
rnacentral:lncRNA from 1 species